CUCCCUCUCCCCUAUUUCCUUCGUUUGUUUCAUCCAACUCUUCUUCUUCUUCUUCCUCUCUCUCCCUCUCUCGAUCGAGGAACAGGGUCAGCUUCUCGUCUCUGUUGCAUAUGGCAAUGGACGCUUCCAUGAUCACCAAUUGCAAAUCCAUCGCUUCGCCUCCCGAGUUCUCAGUGCAACUUCACUUUGGAAAGAAAAGUUAGCUUCCCCAGUCAAAGAUCUCAGAGUGUUAAGGUUAGUCGGAAGGCUAAGACGGCUGGAGUGCAGUGGCGAACAGAGGUAAAAUUGCAGUCCGUGAGAUGGGGAUUUCUUAUGUAGCUGCCUAUUCAACCAAAGAAAAGGAUGCCCUUCGUGUGAAACUGGCUGAUGAAGCAGUUUGCACCGGCAAGUCUCCCAGCAGCCAAUCGUAAGUUUCUUUCAUUUUCAAUUUCAAGUUGAACUUCCUUCUGUUACUAUCGUUCCAUUUUAUGAGUUUUCAUCAUUAAUCUGCUAGAUAAAUGUCAAAUAUAUAUCAUCAUCAUCAUCUUUAACCGUCCUGUGUUUCCUUUUAGUGAUUUGUUUGUUGUUGAUCACUUCACAUUUCCAUAUUGCAAUUAGGGAUUGUACGUCCCUAAUUUAUCAGCAAUGUCUGGUAUCCUUAGAGCCACACUUUUAGCAGGCUGAUAGAGGUCAAAAUAUGUUUGGUCAUCUAAUGCCAUUCUAUAUGAUAUGUGCUAGAUUCUUUGUCAGUCUUCAAUCUGCUACCUGGUGGUGGGAGAAGAUUUAACUCUCUAGGACUGUUAAAAUGUGUGAUUGAAUCUUGAAACUCACAAUUCUCGCCUAAACCUUUUAUGUUUUGGUGGUGGGGGACGUGGAAUGUGUCUUGGUGAGGAGCCAGAGGAGUUUGUAAAGUUGCUGCAGAGACAUAACCAAAAGCUUUUGGUACUGUGGAAUCUCUUUUGAACGAGAGAGGUUCCUUCUAUUUCAUGGGAAUGAACACUAGGAUUCAGGUUAGAUUGAAAGCUACUAUGGGAAAGUUGUUGAUUAAUCUGCAAUUUCCUCGUAGGCAACAGGAUUUCAGAAAUGGGAAAGUUGAUAAAGCUUUCAUUGUGAAGCACGAAGAGGAGUUAGUCGCUGUAAGAACACCUUGCCUGAUAUCAAAUUCCGGCCUGAGGAUAUCGUAGCAGUGAAAUUCAGCUGCUGCUUAGAAGAAGCAAAUGAUGGAACUUCCCAUUUUUUUGGUCAGUCUUUUAUGUGUUUCUGUGUUAGCAUUUUGCAGAGUCUUGGAAUAAAAGUAGGACGUUUCUGUUUGUUUCUGCCUUUUUUCACAUUCUGUUUGGGAACUUUGUUCGCUGGUUUUGGUGAAUCAUUUGGUUUAAUA